rnacentral:lncRNA from 1 species
AAAUAAACUCCUUGUAAGCAGUUGGCUGAUUCAUCCUAUCAUCCCGCGACUCCCUAGGAUUCCCAUAACCAAGUGAAAGUGGCGACUGAUGAAUAGGUUUUGCUGUAUAUACAUUCUUUUGUGUUUUUUUCAAUGUUGAGUCUAUCCUUUCGAUAGUAGGUGGUUAUGUAUUGUUAUGCUUUAUAUUAGUCUGAACAUGUACACGUGACUUCCAUUUUGGAGCCACAAACGCCUAUGCUGUAAAAAAACGAU